GCCGAUAUAGCUCAGUUGGUAGAGCAACACUUUCGUAAAGUGGAGGUCGUCGGUUCAAAUCCGACUAUCGGCU
rnacentral:tRNA from 1 species